rnacentral:snoRNA from 1 species
AUCCCAUGAUGAGGACACUUACGCAGUAACUCCUUGAAUCGCUCCCAAGCCUUAUACAAAGACUCAUCAUCCAAUUUUUGGAAGGUUGUGAUCUCAUUCCUGAACUU